UACGUAGGGGGCUAGCGUUGCUCGGAAUCACUGGGCGUAAAGCGCACGUAGGCGGCUUUUUAAGUCAGGGGUGAAAUCCUGGAGCUCAACUCCAGAACUGCCUUUGAUACUGAGAGCUUGAGUCCGGGAGAGGUGAGUGGAACUGCGAGUGUAGAGGUGAAAUUCGUAGAUAUUCGCAAGAACACCAGUGGCGAAGGCGGCUCACUGGCCCGGUACUGACGCUGAGGUGCGAAAGCGUGGGGAGCGAACAGG
rnacentral:rRNA from 1 species